rnacentral:rRNA from 1 species
GAUGAACGCUGGCGGCGUGCCUAACACAUGCAGUUGAGCGUGAAAUUUAUAUUGAUUCUUCGGAUGAUUUAUAAAUGGAAAGCAGCGGACGGGUGAGUAACGCGUGGAUAACCUGCCCUAUACUCCAGGAUAACAUACCGAAAGGUAUGCUAAUACUGGAUAAUAUACAUUAGUCGCAUGGCUUUUGUAUCAAAGAUUACGGUAUAGGAUGGAUCCGCGUUCCAUUAGCUAGUUGGUGGGGUAAAGGCCUACCAAGGCGACGAUGGAUAGCCGACCUGAGAGGGUGAUCGGCCACACUGGAACUGAGACACGGUCCAGACUCCUACGGGAGGCAGCAGUGGGGAAUAUUGCACAAUGGGCGAAAGCCUGAUGCAGCAACGCCGCGUGAGCGAUGAAGGCCUUCGGGUCGUAAAGCUCUGUCCUAAAGGAAGAAUUUUGACGGUACUUUAGGAGGAAGCCCCGGCUAAUUACGUGCCAGCAGCCGCGGUAAUACGUAAGGGGCUAGCGUUAUCCGGAA